rnacentral:rRNA from 1 species
CCUACGGGAGGCAGCAGUGGGGAAUAUUGCACAAUGGGGGAAACCCUGAUGCAGCGACGCCGCGUGAGUGAAGAAGUAUUUCGGUACGUAAAGCUCUAUCAGCAGGGAAGAAAAUGACGGUACCUGACUAAGAAGCCCGGGCUAACUACGUGCCAGCAGCCGCGGUAAUACGUAGGGGGCAAGCGUUAUCCGGAUUUACUGGGUGUAAAGGGAGCGUAGACGGCAGCGCAAGUCUGGAGUGAAAUCCCAUGGCUUAACCAUGGAACUGCUUUGGAAACUGUGCAGCUAGAGUGCAGGAGAGGUAAGCGGAAUUCCAAGUGUAGCGGUGAAAUGCGUAGAUAUUAGGAGGAACACCAGUGGCGAAGGCGGCUUACUGGACUGUAACUGACGUUGAGGCUCGAAAGCGUGGGGAGCAAACAGGAUUAGAUACCCUUGUAGUC